rnacentral:lncRNA from 1 species
GGCUGGUCUCAGAUAGCAUCAAUUCUCCCAUGUAGAUGCACCUUGUGAUCUUUAUUAUGUGUUAUGUGUAUCCCCAAAAAACACAAUCCUAACUUUUCCUCCUUGUUUCCUUAGUGGUGAUCAAAUGCUCUCGGGCUCCCCUAGUACUACUGGAACCAGAAUCGGGAGUCCGUAUCGACUCAGUAUCCACGACGCCAACCAGCCGCAACCUGCGUAGAAGAAGAAGAUGUCAACGAAGAAGAUGAGAACUUCCUAGUCCAGAAUAUCCUCAGUCUCCCCGUCUGGAGGCUCGAGCCACGCAGC